AAUAAGUGCAGUUUUGUACUAUUCACGUUCAACGUUUGACCGUUUGUUUUAUUUAAAAAUUUUUUAUGAUUGGUAUUUUUACUGCUAUUAGAUGAUAAAACAUGAAUAGUAAAUAUUUUCAAUUUUUUCAUAAAUUUUUUAAAUAAGACGGACGGUCAAAUGUUGGGCACGGAUAUUCACGGCUACACUUAUC
rnacentral:pre_miRNA from 1 species